GAAACAGCAGAGACUCAGUGAUGGCUGUCACGACCGGAGGGGGGACUCGCAGCCUUACCAGGCACUUAAGUAUUCAUCGAAGAGUCACCCCAGUAGCGGUGAUCACAGACAUGAAAAGAUGCGAGACGCCGCAGAUCCUUCACCACCAAAUAAAAUGUUGCGGAGAUCUGAUAGUCCUGAAAACAAAUACAGUGACAGCACAGGUCACAGUAAGGCCAAAAAUGUGCAUACUCACAGAGUUAGAGAGAGGGAUGGUGGUGAGUAUCUUUCUUGUUGAAACUUUGACAUAAUUUUUAACAAUAGGUCUAUAUAAAAGGCGGCAGUAGUAUUUCUAGCUUGAAGAAGUUACUGUUCAGUUAUGUCAUUAAAAUAUUUUAAUCCUAUCAUUUUUUUUUUUUUUUUUUUUUACUCUGAACAAGUUACUGUAGAAACAAGAUGCUGAUGUGAGCAUCUAAAAAGUGGACUCUUAAGGCCAGGC
rnacentral:sRNA from 1 species